UGAGGCGUGAUGACGAGGCACUACGGUGCUGAAGCAACAAAUGCCCUGCUUCCAGGAAAAGCCUCUAAGCAUCAGGUAACAUCAAAUCGUACCCCAAACCGACACAGGUGGUCAGGUAGAGAAUACCAAGGCGCUUGAGAGAACUCGGGUGAAGGAACUAGGCAAAAUGGUGCCGUAACUUCGGGAGAAGGCACGCUGAUAUGUAGGUGAAGUCCCUCGCGGAUGGAGCUGAAAUCAGUCGAAGAUACCAGCUGGCUGCAACUGUUUAUUAAAAACACAGCACUGUGCAAACACGAAAGUGGACGUAUACGGUGUGACGCCUGCCCGGUGCCGGAAGGUUAAUUGAUGGGGUCAGCGCAAGCGAAGCUCUUGAUCGAAGCCCCGGUAAACGGCGGCCGUAACUAUAACGGUCCUAAGGUAGCGAAAUUCCUUGUCGGGUAAGUUCCGACCUGCACGAAUGGCGUAAUGAUGGCCAGGCUGUCUCCACCCGAGACUCAGUGAAAUUGAACUCGCUGUGAAGAUGCAGUGUACCCGCGGCAAGACGGAAAGACCCCGUGAACCUUUACUAUAGCUUGACACUGAACAUUGAGCCUUGAUGUGUAGGAUAGGUGGGAGGCUUUGAAGUGUGGACGCCAGUCUGCAUGGAGCCGACCUUGAAAUACCACCCUUUAAUGUUUGAUGUUCUAACGUUGACCCGUAAUCCGGGUUGCGGACAGUGUCUGGUGGGUAGUUUGACUGGGGCGGUCUCCUCCUAAAGAGUAACGGAGGAGCACGAAGGUUGGCUAAUCCUGGUCGGACAUCAGGAGGUUAGUGCAAUGGCAUAAGCCAGCUUGACUGCGAGCGUGACGGCGCGAGCAGGUGCGAAAGCAGGUCAUAGUGAUCCGGUGGUUCUGAAUGGAAGGGCCAUCGCUCAACGGAUAAAAGGUACUCCGGGGAUAACAGGCUGAUACCGCCCAAGAGUUCAUAUCGACGGCGGUGUUUGGCACCUCGAUGUCGGCUCAUCACAUCCUGGGGCUGAAGUAGGUCCCAAGGGUAUGGCUGUUCGCCAUUUAAAGUGGUACGCGAGCUGGGUUUAGAACGUCGUGAGACAGUUCGGUCCCUAUCUGCCGUGGGCGCUGGAGAACUGAGGGGGGCUGCUCCUAGUACGAGAGGACCGGAGUGGACGCAUCACUGGUGUUCGGGUUGUCAUGCCAAUGGCACUGCCCGGUAGCUAAAUGCGGAAGAGAUAAGUGCUGAAAGCAUCUAAGCACGAAACUUGCCCCGAGAUGAGUUCUCCCUGACUCCUUGAGAGUCCUGAAGGAACGUUGAAG
rnacentral:rRNA from 1 species